AUUGAACGCUGGCGGCAUGCUUUACACAUGCAAGUCGAACGGCAGCGGGGAGGAGUUUGCCUCCCUGCCGGCGAGUGGCGAACGGGUGAGUAAUAUAGCGGAACGUGUCGUGAAGAGGGGGUAAAUCACCCGAAAGGGUGCUUAAUACCGCAUAAAUACUGAGGCAGAUAGCUGGGGACUUAGGAAUAGUUCUAGUGCUAUUUGUGCGGCCGGUGUCGGAUUAGUAAGUUGGUGAGGUAAAGGCUGACCAAGGCGAAGAUGUGUAGUCGGUCUGAGAGGAUGAUCCGCCACACUGGAACUGAGACACGGCCCAGACUCCUACGGGAGGCAGCAGUAGGGAAUUUUGGGCAAUGGGGGCAACCCUGAUCCAGCCAUGCCGCGUGUAUGAAGAAGGCCUUAGGGUUGUAAAGUUCUGUUGUUAGGGAAGAAAAGUCGGCUGUGAAUAAUGGCUGGUACUGACGGUACCUAAAGAGUAAGCACCGGCUAACUACGUG
rnacentral:rRNA from 1 species